rnacentral:rRNA from 1 species
AGAUCAAAUUGUCGGUCGUGCCUCGGUUCAUACUGGAAUUAUUGAUUUCUCCCUUCUGACCACAAUGUCAUUAAUGUGGUGUCAUGGGGAAUCAGGACUGUUACUUUGAAAAAUUAGUGUUUAAAGCAGGCUCACGCUUGAAUAUACAUUAGCAUGGAAUAAUGAAAUAAGACGUUUGAUUCUAUUUUGUUGGUUUACGUA